UACGUAGGUGGCAAGCGUUGUCCGGAAUUAUUGGGCGUAAAGCGCGCGCAGGCGGCCUCUUAAGUCUGAUGUGAAAGCCCCCCGGCUCAACCGGGGGAGGGCCAUUGGAAACUGGGAGGCUUGAGUAUAGGAGAGAAGAGUGGAAUUCCACGUGUAGCGGUGAAAUGCGUAGAGAUGUGGAGGAACACCAGUGGCGAAGGCGACUCUUUGGCCUAUAACUGACGCUGAGGCGCGAAAGCGUGGGGGAGCAAACAGG
rnacentral:rRNA from 1 species